AACGUAGGGGGCGAGCGUUAAUCGGAUUUACUGGGCGUAAAGCGUGCGCAGGCGGCCCGUUAAGACAGGUGUGAAAUCCCUGGGCUCAACCUAGGAAUUGCGCUUGUGACUGGCGGGCUCGAGUACGGUAGAGGGGGGUGGAAUUCCUGGUGUAGCAGUGAAAUGCGUAGAGAUCAGGAGGAACACCGAUGGCGAAGGCAGCCCCCUGGGCCUGUACUGACGCUCAUGCACGAAAGCGUGGGGAGCAAACAGG
rnacentral:rRNA from 1 species